UUGAGGUUCUGGUUAGAAGGAAAAUUGAAAAGUACCCCAUCAGCUACUCCUUGGAUUUGUGGUACCUACAGAGCCCGAUACCGAGGGGAGGUGUUACCCUGAUAUCCGUCUUGGAGAAAGCAGAGCUGUUUUGCUGUUUCGCAUGCAGUUGACAGAAGUGAAGACCCACUUUCCCAUCUGAUCUCCUGUUGGCACAGGCUGGGAAAUCUGGUACAAGACAGCAGGGAAACUAUGAAAAGGCAAUGUUAAGAACAGGAACAUGCUUACGGAACAUGGAAAGGAGCCUCUCCAAGAAGACAGAUGAGAGAUUUGGGUGCUUGUGAACCAAUUUCA